UACAGAGGGGGCAAGCGUUGUUCGGAAUUACUGGGCGUAAAGGGCGCGUAGGCGGCCUUCUAAGUCAGACGUGAAAUCCCUCGGCUCAACCGGGGAACUGCGUCUGAGACUGGAAGGCUUGAAUCCGGGAGAGGGAUGUGGAAUUCCAGGUGUAGCGGUGAAAUGCGUAGAUAUCUGGAGGAACACCGGUGGCGAAGGCGGCAGCCUGGACCGGUAUUGACGCUGAGGCGCGAAAGCCAGGGGAGCAAACGGG
rnacentral:rRNA from 1 species